rnacentral:lncRNA from 1 species
AAUGAUGGUUUGGGCUUAAAAUUGGUCUUGGAUAAUUGUGUUCCCUCACCCCAUUUGUGUAAAUGGCUUUAAAUAGUAAAAUGAUCACUUGUCUUGACUUACUCACCAAUGUUGUUGCAUUGGUGGUUAAACAAUGAGCAUGCAUUUUGAAAGCUUUUUUGGCUAUGUUUUGAUUUAAUUAACAAAGGGGGUCAAGGCAUUUCCCCAACUAACUGCAAUUGUAAUGGAAUAAUUAU